rnacentral:rRNA from 1 species
ACUCCUACGGGAGGCAGCAGUAGGGAAUUUUCCACAAUGGACGAAAGUCUGAUGGAGCAACGCCGCGUGUGCGAAGAAGGCCUUCGGGUUGUAAAGCACUGUUGUAAGGGAAGAAUAGAUGUGAGAGGAAAUGCUCAUAUUGUGACGGUACCUUACCAGAAAGCCACGGCUAACUACGUGCCAGCAGCCGCGGUAAU